UUUUAAAUUGAGAGUUUGAUCCUGGCUCAGGACGAACGCUGGCGGCGUGCCUAACACAUGCAAGUCGAGCGAUGAAACUUUCUUCGGGAAGUGGAUUAGCGGCGGACGGGUGAGUAACACGUGGGUAACCUGCCUCAAAGAGUGGGAUAGCCUUCCGAAAGGGAGAUUAAUACCGCAUAACAUUAUUUUAUGGCAUCAUAAAAUAAUCAAAGGAGCAAUCCGCUUUGAGAUGGACCCGCGGCGCAUUAGCUAGUUGGUGAGGUAACGGCUCACCAAGGCAACGAUGCGUAGCCGACCUGAGAGGGUGAUCGGCCACAUUGGAACUGAGACACGGUCCAGACUCCUACGGGAGGCAGCAGUGGGGAAUAUUGCGCAAUGGGGGAAACCCUGACGCAGCAACGCCGCGUGAGUGAUGAAGGUUUUCGGAUCGUAAAACUCUGUCUUUAGGGACGAUAAUGACGGUACCUAAGGAGGAAGCCACGGCUAACUACGUGCCAGCAGCCGCGGUAAUACGUAGGUGGCAAGCGUUGUCCGGAUUUACUGGGCGUAAAGA
rnacentral:rRNA from 1 species